rnacentral:rRNA from 1 species
UUGUACACACAAUGCAGCAAACCAGCGAACUGUAGUCGUCCCCCGAGGGGCCUCACCCGGAGGUGGGGCCGCCGAUGGCGUGACCCGGUCCCCAGGACCUGCCCGUUGGCUUGAAGCGGGCAUUGGGUCCGUCCCCGGCUGGAGCGUCCCGUUUCUCGUGGCUCUGGCGCCCGGCGUUGCGCUCCCGUGAGGGAGUGGGGAGGCUGUGUGCCGGGGUUGGGCCCUCCCCUCCCCCGUCGACUCCCCCUCCCUUUGGGGAGGGAGGGAGUCCCCGGGGCCGCUUUUUUCCGACCAAGAACCUUGAGGAACACCAAUGUGGAGACUGAGCCUGGGGCCCCCGCGCUCCGUGGGGUGUCCCCGAGUCGAGAAAAC